rnacentral:rRNA from 1 species
UACGUAGGUGGCAAGCGUUGUCCGGAUUUACUGGGCGUACAGCGCGCGCAGGCGGUCGUAUAGGUACCUGGUGACAGUCUCGGGCUCAACUCGAGGGGGUCUGGGUAGACCGUACGACUGGAGGCAGGGAGAGGGAUGUGGAAUACCCGGUGGAGCGGUGAAAUGCGUAGAGAGUCGGGAUGGAACACCAGUGGCGAAGGCGGCAUCCUGGCCCUGACCUGGACGCUG